AACGAACGCUGGCGGCAGGCCUCAAACAUGCAAGUCUAGGGGGUGCAGCAAUGCAUCACCGGCGGACGGGUGCGUAACGCGUGGGAAUAUACCUUUUGGUUCGGAACAACCGCGGGAAACUGCAGCUAAUACCGAAUGUGCCCUAACGGGGAAAGAUUUAUCGCCAAAGGAUUAGCCCGCGUAGGAUUAGCUAGUUGGUGAGGUAAUGGCUCACCAAGGCUCCGAUCCUUAGCUGCUGAGAGGAAGAUCAGCCACACUGGGACUGAGACACGGCCCAGACUCCUACGGGAGGCAGCAGUUGGGAAUCUUGGACAAUGGGGGAAACCCUGAUCCAGCCAUGCCGCGUGAGUGAUGAAGGCC
rnacentral:rRNA from 1 species